UAGGGAAUCUUCGGCAAUGGGGGCAACCCUGACCGAGCAACGCCGCGUGAGUGAAGAAGGUUUUCGGAUCGUAAAGCUCUGUUGUAAGAGAAGAACGUGUGUGAGAGUGGAAAGUUCACACAGUGACGGUAACUUACCAGAAAGGGACGGCUAACUACGUGCCAGCAGCCGCGGUAAUACGUAGGUCCCGAGCGUUGUCCGGAUUUAUUGGGCGUAAAGCGAGCGCAGGCGGUUUAAUAAGUCUGAAGUUAAAGGCAGUGGCUUAACUAUUGUUCGCUUUGGAAACUGUUAAACUUGAGUGCAGAAGGGGAGAGUGGAAUUCCAUGUGUAGCGGUGAAAUGCGUAGAUAUAUGGAGGAACACCGGUGGCGAAAGCGGCUCUCUGGUCUGUAACUGACGCUGAGGCUCGAAAGCGUGGGGAGCAAACAGG
rnacentral:rRNA from 1 species